CCUACGGGCGGCAGCAGUGAGGAAUAUUGGUCAAUGGGCGUAAGCCUGAACCAGCCAAGCCGCGUGAGGGAUGAAGGUUCUCUGGAUCGUAAACCUCUUUUGUAAGGGAAUAAAGUGUGGGACGUGUCCUCUUUUGUAUGUACCUUAUGAAUAAGGAUCGGCUAACUCCGUGCCAGCAGCCGCGGUAAUACGGAGGAUCCGAGCGUUAUCCGGAUUUAUUGGGUUUAAAGGGUGCGUAGGCGGGCUUGUAAGUCAGCGGUGAAAGCCUGUGGCUCAACCAUAGAAUUGCCGUUGAAACUGGGGGGCUUGAGUAUGUGUGAGGCAGGCGGAAUGCGUGGUGUAGCGGUGAAAUGCUUAGAUAUCACGCAGAACCCCGAUGGCGAAGGCAGCCUGCCAGGCCAUGACUGACGCUGAUGCACGAAAGCGUGGGGAUCAAACAGGAUUAGAUACCCCUGUAGUC
rnacentral:rRNA from 1 species